GACGAACGCUGGCGGCGUGCUUAACACAUGCAAGUCGUACGGUAAGGCCCUUUCGGGGGUACACGAGUGGCGAACGGGUGAGUAACACGUGAGUAACCUGCCCACAACUUUGGGAUAACGCUAGGAAACUGGUGCUAAUACUGGAUAUGUGCUCCUGCUGCAUGGUGGGGGUUGGAAAGCUCCGGCGGUUGUGGAUGGACUCGCGGCCUAUCAGCUUGUUGGUGGGGUAGUGGCCUACCAAGGCGGCGACGGGUAGCCGGCCUGAGAGGGUGACCGGCCACAUUGGGACUGAGAUACGGCCCAGACUCCUACGGGAGGCAGCAGUGGGGAAUAUUGCACAAUGGGCGCAAGCCUGAUGCAGCAACGCCGCGUGCGGGAUGACGGCCUUCGGGUUGUAAACCGCUUUCAGCAGGGACGAAGCUUUUUGUGACGGUACCUGCACAAGAAGCACCGGCUAACUACGUG
rnacentral:rRNA from 1 species